rnacentral:tRNA from 1 species
GGAGAGGUGGCUGAGUGGUCUAAAGCGGCAGAUUGCUAAUCUGUUGUAUGUUAUUCAACAUACCGAGGGUUCGAAUCCCUUCCUCUCCU